GACGAGCCUGCAGAUUCCGGUGAGAUCAGGCGCCCUGCGCCUGCUGUUGAGGGAGAGCGAGGGACACCCACCGCCACCGUGUGCAUCUGUGUCGUGAGGAGAGAGUGCGGUGGUUCGCCGAACAACGAAGGAUCCGUGCGCCCCCCAUAUCUGGCCUUCAUCGCCGAUUUGGAGUCUGCGGGUGGUCGAGGGCGCUCGGCCGAACGUGUGGAGCUCCGUUGUAGAGAGAAGUUGAGGGAUGGAUCGCAGGACUGCUAUGUGCUCGUCGCGGUGGUGAACGGAAGUCUUCUCGGCGUCCAAUUUGGUGGUGGCAGGGGUGGUGCUGGGCGAGCCCUCGCCGGACAUCGCACUCCAUGGCAGAAUCUGUGCCACCAUGUGCCGUGAAUCGUGCUGCUGCGCACCGUGGGCAGCCAUGCCUGUGCUUUGUGUCAUGGUGAGACUUCCUUCCCUGGAUUCGCAUUCUUCUCCUCUGCGCGUAGAACCUUUCGAAUCGUGACUUGGGGACGCCAGGGCCUCGGGCCAUCUACUCGCCGGUGAACUACCGCCGUGGGGGUUUGGCGACGCCACCUGUGCCGGCCAGAGGUAGAAGGUAAGCGUUGUGGCCGUCGAUCGGAUAUUCUGCGGCUGCGAUUAGAUCCGGGUCCCUUCUCGCGUGGUCGAUCUCUGCCCUCCAUCAGAAAUCGGUCGGCAGAGAGCGUGUCUUCACCGUGUUUGGAUCUGAACCGUAGUUGGCUAAUCAUAGGGCUGUAGCGUGGUCAGUGGAGUGCAUUGAUCUUGCCCGCUGACCAUCGAUCGGGCGGUUACGGGUGAACACUGGCUCAGGAUGAAGACACGAUCUAAUCAUCGCCGUUGGUGAGCAAUCGGGCGGCUAGGAUUUAACCAUACCCUUUCGGCCUUGACAAGUUGCUAAAGAGCCCUCGUAGAAUCAGGGAUUCAACCCGCCGUCCUAGCAUUGGUAGGCUAAGUCUUAGGAUAAUUUGCGCUGAGACCCCUGUCCUUCCCCAAAAUUGGCGCACAGUCCAAGGAAAUAGAAAAUCAGAGAAUUUGAUUUAUAAAAUGAAUUUAUUAUAUAAAAACAAUUCAGAAUCUUGUUAAAUCCAUAGAAAAAUUCAUAUUAAGUUCAAAUUAGUUCAUUCCAAUUUCUAUAAUUCUAUAAUAUUAUUGUUUAUCAAUUAGUGCCACUGAUUUGACAUGAAAGUCACUUUAAAAUUUAUUUCUUAAUUAAUCUCGGAUCAAAUACACAAAACCUUAGAAAAUUCAUAUCUCCUCCGUUUUAAAUCUGAUUUGACUCGUUCCAGUUGCGAUAGCUUCGUAUAAAUAUCUACUACACAAUAGCAACAUUUAUUAUAUAAUAUCUCAUACUUUUAUAAUUGGGUUAAUCUAUGUCUCUUGGACUAACUUCUUUAAUAUUCUAACUUUAUGGCUAUAAUUUAACCAGAUAAUCUUUGAUCAAAUAAUGACUUAGAUUAAAGUGGAGAUAGUUAUUUAUAGAAUAAUCUCUUAUAUGAUUUCUAAUAACCAAAUUAUAAUAUAGUUUAAUAUUUUAGUCACAUAAAUCAUCUAUAAAAUCAUAACUCCUUAACCUUGACUCCGAUCUUAGUAGCUCUCGAACCCACGAUCUCGUAGCUUCGCGUAGAUCAUUAUUAUGCAGUAUGUUCUUAUGUUUGGUGUGAUGUUAAUUUUGUCUAUACCAUGUAUGUUUGUAUUGCUACGACUAGCAGUGCGGUCACGGGGAUCUGAAGAAUCACCCUGGUAACUGGAAUCUCAAGUGCCAGGCAAGUUGUGCCCUUGAUCACUUCUUUUUACCCACUCAUGUUCUAAUUAAUCAAAAUGAUCUGCAUAGGUUAAUUUUGAUGGGACCCAAUAGGUUACCCUAGUUUGUUUAUCCUGUUUACCUUGUUUACCCCUGAAUCAAUUGGGUAGUUAUGCUAUUGCUUUAUAUGGUUUUUGGGUUAAUAUUUCAUUACAUCCAUGUUCCAAUUAUUCUGUUAUGUUAUUUAUGUUCAUGAUAAGAUCAUUAUGUUAAUUGGAACAUGGAGCGACCACCCGGGAAAACAGUGCUACCACAAGGGUUUAAUGGGACGCCCUUGGCUGAUUAACUAGGAAAGCUAGUGGAGGUCUUCCUUACCCGAAAGGGGCAAGGGCAGUAGGGGAGUGGUCAGUGUAGGGAGGUCCUUGGGUUGACUUUGCUGCGAUGGCGGUCAGACAAGAACCCUGCAUUGGAGCUUCCUAUAAAUUGUAGCGGGAUUUCUGAAGCUAGUGGAACUUUGUAAAGGCCUCGUAGUGUUACCCUGCCUCGCUUCCUUGGUAGAGGUGUAUGGGACUCAUGACCCCUUGGUAGAUGGGUAACACGGCUUGUGGGUAAAGAUGUGUAACCUCUGCAGAGUGUAAAACUAGUAUACUAGCCGUGCUCACGGUCAUGAGCGGCUCGGACCCUCACAUGAUUAAUUUAUGGAACCUAAAUUCAAUUUGUCAUUUGCAUUUGCAUGGGAUUUGUUAUUAAUUUUGUUCCAUUAUUUAUUAUGGUUUGGUAUUUACUUACACCUAGUAAUUGCUAAUAAAAUUUUGACCAACAUUAAAAGCAAUGCUCAACUUUAACCAUUCUCUUUGAUAAGCCUUACACUUCACAUGAACUCCCACCUUUUGUGAGUUCAUGUCACAUUAUUCCCCACAACUUGUUGAGCGAUGAACGUAUGUGAGCUCACUCUUGCUGUCUCACACCCCCCCACAGGAGAAGAACAGGUGGUUCAAGAGGAGCCGCAUAUCGAGGAGUUCGAUUCGAUCUAGGUGGCGUCUCCCAGUUGACUUUC
rnacentral:lncRNA from 1 species